rnacentral:misc_RNA from 1 species
GAUGAAGAACGCAGCGAAAUGCGAUACGUAAUGUGAAUUGCAAAUUCAGUGAACCAUCGAGUCUUUGAACGCACAUUGCGCCCCCUGGUAUUCCGGGGGGCAUGCCUGUCCGAGCGUCAUUGCUGCCCUCAAGCACGGCUUGUGUGUUGGGCCCCGUCCUCCGAUCCCGGGGGACGGGCCCGAAAGGCAGCGGCGGCACCGCGUCCGGUCCUCGAGCGUAUGGGGCUUUGUCACCCGCUCUGUAGGCCCGGCCGGCGCUUGCCGAUCAACCCAAAUUUUUAUCCAGGUUGACCUCGGAUCAGGUAGGGAUACCCGCUGAACUUAAGCAUAUCAAUAAGCGGAGGA